GUGCUUGCUUCAGCAGCACAUUUACUAAAAUUGAAACGAUACAGAGAUUAGCAUGGCCUCUGCGCAAGGAUGACACACAAAUUCAUGAAGCAUUCCAUAUUUUU
ensembl:snRNA U6 U6 spliceosomal RNA